rnacentral:rRNA from 1 species
UACGUAGGGACCAAGCGUUGUUCGGAUUUACUGGGCGUAAAGGGCGCGUAGGCGGUGUUGUAAGUCACUUGUGAAAUCUCUGAGCUUAACUCAGACGGCCAAGUGAUACUGCAGCACUAGAGUGCAGAAGGGGCAAUCGGAAUUCUUGGUGUAGCGGUGAAAUGCGGUAGAUAUCAAGAGGAACACCUGAGGUGAAGACGGGUUGCUGGGCUGACACUGACGCUGAGGCGACGAAAGCCUAGGGGGGCAAACGGG